GCGGCAGUGGCCACCUCUGGUGUCGGGCAGUGUCCCGAGGAAUUACAAGACCCGCAUUGUCCAGAUGUGAACCGAGAUUUGGCCUUUUCACCCAAAGAAAAAGGAAAGGCUCAUGGGUGCACAGUGCUGGGAUCCUGGGCACACAGUGCCUACCAUCUUUAUCAGACUUAAUGGGAGAGGCCCUUUGACAUCUACCCUCCCUUUCCCUCUGUAUCACCCCUUGCCACAGACACAAAGUUCUUCCCCUGAAAAGGAAGAAAAUGUUGCCAUCAUGUUGAUGAAGAUUCCAGUCUUCAUGAUAGGUACUGUGUUCACUGUAAACAUCUGAAACUUGAGUUCUGUGGGUCAUCCCAGGAAGGAGGACUCUCCCCAUGUGUGUUUGAAUCUGCACAGAUCAGGCCGAAGGAGACAGCAGCUGGGAAUUCUACCCUGUGUGAUGUUUCACUCCCACCAAACCUUUCUAAACUUUCAUAGAUUGUAUAUUAAGGCUUUUGCCAUAUUUUGAGGCUUUUUUCUUGGAGGAUUUAUUUUUAAAACAUUUGCUUGAGCCCUUAACAAUGUGCCAGGUACUAUUCUAAGCCCUUUAUAAAUGACUCAUUCUUAUCUGGAGUUUUGGGAUCAAGGCUUAUGAACUUUAAAACUUUUUUUCUUUGUAAAAAGAAACAACUCUCCUCUCCAUCCAGUUUAUCUCACUCUCCAGAAGUAGAGCUACCUUAUAGCCUGGUGUGUGCCUCCUCUCUGACCGUUCCUUAGGAUUUUAGUCAUAGCUAGUAAAUAUAAUGCCCUGUAUCCCAUCACUGUUGUCUGGUUUUCACCCAAAUGCAGCCAUGCUCUGCCUUGGGAUAUGCUGUAGCAGAGCUGGGUGGGGGACCAGUAGCCCAGAGCCCACUCUGCCCUUCAGGACAGGGGCUGCUCAAAUGUCUGCCUUCAGCCCUCUCCCAGGGAGGGUCCAAACUCACAUCCGUAAGCCCCUACAGAGCACAUCCAUCAUCCUGGUUAUAUAUUAUGCCUUGUCUUCGGGGCACCCGACCCAACCCACACCGCUCCCACAAAAAGGAAGGAGGAAUACCCCUUUAUUUCUUUUCUAACAACAACAAAAAAUUCUCAUACAAAUAGAGACUUGAGGUGACAGGGUUAUUAUUUAACCCCACACUUACCCCAAAUGUCCAAGCAACAGCUCCAGCCCAGCUGCAAUACUCUGUUGCAGUGCUUAGUCUUGUUUGCUUCCCAGAAAGUGAAUACAGUUUCCAUUGCCAUCAGCAGUGCCUGAACACUCGCCGUGUGUCUCCCUCACCCUACUCUUUUCCCCAGAACUGAGUAUUUUAACUAAAAAGAAAGAUCUUAGAUAAAUUGAAAAUGGUGUCUUAUUUUAAUUUACAUUUUUAUUAUGAUUAAGUUUGAGUCCUUUUGCAUAUAUUUGUUAGCCACUUUUAUUUCCACUUUUUAAAUUCUCAGUUAAUAUUUUGUCUAUAUAUUGUGUUUAAGUCAUUUUUUAUAAAUUACACAAAUGUUCCAAGAACAUGAGUAUGUGCUCAUUGUAAAAAACAAAAAACUAUUUGCUGUGAAUAUUUUUCCAGUUUAUUGUUUGCCAGCUAAUUUUGGUUUUGUCAUUAAACAUACAAAACUUAUUUUUCAUUCGUUUGUA